AGAUCAUUUUGGGGGAAAUUUCUUAUUAGCCCUUUGUAUUUUUCCUAAGCCUCGUAUAAGGACUCCCCUACUUGUUGCUCAAAGUUUGCUAUGGCCUUCUUGAAUUU